rnacentral:rRNA from 1 species
AGGACGAACGCUGGCGGCGUGCCUAAUACAUGCAAGUCGAGCGAAUGAUUAGAGAAGCUUGCUUCUCUCUGAUUAGCGGCGGACGGGUGAGUAACACGUGGGUAACCUACCCUAUAGACUGGGAUAACUUCGGGAAACCGGAGCUAAUACCGGAUAAUACUUUGAAACACAUGUUUUGAAGUUGAAAGAUGGUUUCGGCUAUCACUAUAGGAUGGACCCGCGGCGCAUUAGCUAGUUGGUGAGGUAACGGCUCACCAAGGCAACGAUGCGUAGCCGACCUGAGAGGGUGAUCGGCCACACUGGGACUGAGACACGGCCCAGACUCCUACGGGAGGCAGCAGUAGGGAAUCUUCCACAAUGGACGAAAGUCUGAUGGAGCAACGCCGCGUGAGUGAAGAAGGAUUUCGGUUCGUAAAACUCUGUUGCAAGGGAAGAACAAGUAGCGUAGUAACUGGCGCUACCUUGACGGUACCUUGUUAGAAAGCCACGGCUAACUACGUGCCAGCAGCGGC